rnacentral:rRNA from 1 species
AUUGAACGCUGGCGGCAUGCCUUACACAUGCAAGUCGAACGGCAGCGGGGGAGAAGCUUGCUUUUCCUGCCGGCGAGUGGCGAACGGGUGAGUAAUACAUCGGAACGUGCCCUGUAGUGGGGGAUAACUAGUCGAAAGAUUAGCUAAUACCGCAUACGACCUGAGGGUGAAAGUGGGGGACCGCAAGGCCUCAUGCUAUAGGAGCGGCCGAUGUCUGAUAGCUAGUUGGUGGGGUAAAGGCCUACCAAGGCGACGAUCAGUAGCUGGUCUGAGAGGACGAUCAGCCACACUGGGACUGAGACACGGCCCAGACUCCUACGGGAGGCAGCAGUGGGGAAUUUUGGACAAUGGGCGAAAGCCUGAUCCAGCAAUGCCGCGUGUGUGAAGAAGGCCUUCGGGCUGUAAAGCACUUUUGUCCGAAAAGAAAUGGCUCUGGUUAAUACCUGGGGUCGAUGACGGUACCGGAAGAAUAAGGACCGGCUAACUACGUGCCAGCCGCCGCCGUAA